rnacentral:tRNA from 1 species
AGGGGUGUAGCUCAGUGGUAGAGUGCAUGCUUAGCGUGCAUGAGGCCCUAAGUUCAAUCCUCAGCACCAAAA